rnacentral:rRNA from 1 species
AGUGAACGCUGGCGGUAGGCCUAACACAUGCAAGUCGAACGGCAGCACAGUAAGAGCUUGCUCUUACGGGUGGCGAGUGGCGGACGGGUGAGGAAUACAUCGGAAUCUACUUUUUCGUGGGGGAUAACGUAGGGAAACUUACGCUAAUACCGCAUACGACCUACGGGUGAAAGCAGGGGAUCUUCGGACCUUGCGCGAUUGAAUGAGCCGAUGUCGGAUUAGCUAGUUGGCGGGGUAAAGGCCCACCAAGGCGACGAUCCGUAGCUGGUCUGAGACGAUGAUCAGCCACACUGGAACUGAGACACGGUCCAGACUCCUACGGGAGGCAGCAGUGGGGAAUAUUGGACAAUGGGCGCAAGCCUGAUCCAGCCAUACCGCGUGGGUGAAGAAGGCCUUCGGGUUGCAAAGCCCUUUUGUUGGGAAAGAAAAGCAGCAGGUUAAUACCCCGCUGUUCUGACGGUACCCAAAGAAUAAGCACCGGCUAACUUCGUG